GACGAACGCUGGCGGCGUGCCUAAUACAUGCAAGUCGAACGCACUCUCGUUUAGAUUGAAGGAGCUUGCUCCUGAUUGAUAAACAUUUGAGUGAGUGGCGGACGGGUGAGUAACACGUGGGUAACCUGCCCUAAAGUGGGGGAUAACAUUUGGAAACAGAUGCUAAUACCGCAUAAAACCUAACACCGCAUGGUGUAGGGUUGAAAGAUGGUUUCGGCUAUCACUUUAGGAUGGACCCGCGGUGCAUUAGUUAGUUGGUGAGGUAAAGGCUCACCAAGACCGUGAUGCAUAGCCGACCUGAGAGGGUAAUCGGCCACACUGGGACUGAGACACGGCCCAGACUCCUACGGGAGGCAGCAGUAGGGAAUCUUCCACAAUGGACGAAAGUCUGAUGGAGCAACGCCGCGUGAGUGAAGAAGGUUUUCGGAUCGUAAAACUCUGUUGUUGGAGAAGAAUGUAUCUGAUAGUAACUGAUCAGGUAGUGACGGUAUCCAACCAGAAAGCCACGGU
rnacentral:rRNA from 1 species